rfam:Schistosoma rodhaini strain Burundi genome assembly, scaffold: SROB_scaffold0001692
AUCCAGAUGAACAGUUCUAAAUAGGACGAAACAUAUGUCCUGGGU